GACAAAAGUGGAAUUGCAACGUUUAGAACCGCUGCAGCGAUUCACAUGCAACAUUGUUCCCUUUUGUUUUUCUAAAUGUUAACUCAAUAAUCACUUUAUCGACUCCCAUCACUCGACAGUGGCCGUGUUGCAGUCGACAUCUAAGUGAGGUUAGCUUACUUUUUGUAUAAAGAUUACAGCUACAUCCUGAACGCACAAUUUUUCAAGAAUUAAGACCAAAGUCAUAUGCUUUCGUCAUGUAACUACACACCACAGUCCAACAUGGCGGCCACGUCUGUUUUCCACAGAGCGAGAACAAGUUCGAAAAUAGGAGCUCCAUAUGAUCAAGAGGGCAAUCUUAUUCAGGUUGAAACAAGGGAGGACGAGGAGCAGAGUGUCAGGCUAGCAGAAAUCCUGGAACUUCUGCUUGCUGCUGGAUAUUUCAGAGCCCGAAUAAAAGGACUGGGACCUUUUGACAAGGUGGUUGGAGGGAUGACAUGGUGCAUCACAACAUGUAACUUUGACAUUGAUGUGAAUCUGCUGUUCCAGGAGAAUUCAACUAUUGGACAGAAAAUAGCUCUCACAGAGAAGAUUGUGUCUGUUCUGCCCAAAAUGAAGUGCCCUCAUCACCUGGAGCCCCAUCAGAUCCAAGGGCUGGAUUUCAUCCAUAUAUUUCCAGUGACACAGUGGCUGGUGAAGAGGGCCAUAGAGACGAGGGAGGAGAUGGGAGACUAUGUGAGAGCCUAUUCUGUCUCUCAGUUCCAGAAGACACACAGCUUUCCUGAGGAUGAAGACUUCCUCCAGAGGAAGGAAAAGGUUGUGAAAGCAGUCCUAGAUGUAUUGGAAGUGUAUAAACCUCAUAGGAAAUACAAGAGACAGGUUGAGGCAGGAGCGCUGCUGGACGAGGAGUCCAGGGUUCACUCCACUCUAUUGGAGUACGGAAGACGGUAUGGAUUCAGCAAGCAGACAAAACAGGACCAGGCAGAGGAACGGAAAGCCUUGUUGAUGCCAGGCUCUCAGGCCACACCCCCAGGGAUUACAGAGGGGUCGCAGGAGGAGGAGGACCUGCAGGCAGCGGAGGAGCUGUGCAUCAAAACACUGAUGACCAGCAUGGCUGCCAUGGCGACUGAGGAGGGGAGGCUAACGGCUAGCACAGUGGGACAGAUAGUUGGGCUGCAGUCUGAGGAGAUUAAACAGAUAGCAUCUGAGUAUGCUGGGAAGUUGGAGAGGUCUGCAGAGGACCGUCCAGAGCGGUACGGGCCAGUCCAGCAGCACCGUAGGAUAGUGACCUCUCUUAACAAACAGAUCCAACAGAAGACCAAGCAGUUGGAGGAGCUACAAGCCAAACACUUGGAGGUAAAAUCAGCGUGUGUGGAAGCUAAGAGCAAACUGAUUGAGGCCACAGAGCAGACAGAGAGACUGGAGAAAGAGCUGAGUGCCCUGGAAGAGGCUGAGGGCCAGGCUGAUACUGGACUGUUGGAGAAGCUGAGGGCUCUGGUAGGCAUGAAUGAGAACCUGAAGCACCAAGAGCAGGAGUUCCGGACACAUUGUAGAGAGGAGAUGGUUCGCCUGCAGCAGAACAUUGAGGACCUGAAGAUGGAGUCAGGAGAUGAUACGGAGGACGAGAAGGAGAGGAGUCAGCUAAUCGACAAGCAGUACAACACAGACAGAGAUAAGCUACAGAAGAUCAGACUGCUGAUGGCUCGGAGGAACCGUGAGAUCGCCAUCCUGCAGAGGAAGAUGGACGAGGUGCCGAGCAGGGAAGAACUGAACCAGUAUCAGAAGAGGUUCAUUGAGCUCUAUGGCCAAGGUAGGUAUCUUAGCCUCAACCACUUAUUGAUUUGUUAACAAAUUCUUACAUCAAAGAAACAUUACUUUUGUGUGUGUCCCCUAGUUUCAGCAACACAUUAAGAGACCAAGCAGUUCUUCACCUUGUAUAACACAUUAGAUGACAAGAAGGUAUACCUGGAGAAGGAGGUAAGAGGAGAGGGCAUCAAUUUCAUAGAGCCAUUGCAGCUGAAAUCAGCUUGUUUACUCAUGUUUUUUAUUUUAUUUAACUAGGCAAGUCAGUUAAGAACAAAUUCUUAUUUACAAUGAUGGUCUAGGAACAGUGAGUUAACUGCCUUGUUCAGGGGCAGAACGACAGAUUUUUACCUUGUCAGCUUGGGGAUUCGAUCUAGCAACCUUUCGGUUACUGGCCCAUUGCUCUAACCACUAGGCUACCUGCCACCCCGUGUUGAUCUGUUUCUGUAGGUGAACUUGCUGAAUUCCAUCCAUGACAACUUCCAACAGGCGAUGGCGUCUUUGGGGGCCAAGGAGCAGUUCUUGAGACAGAUGGAGCAGAUAGUGGUGG